UCAGCUUCUCAGGCUUUUAGCUAAGAUCAGGUGUGGUAUCUGUUCUUAUCAGUUUAAAAAGAUGAAUGAGACUUAAGGAGCUUAGAUUUAAUAGAUGAUUCCUCCUAGUGUCAGUAGUUAUUUUUUAUUAGAUGCACUGAUAAAUAAAGUAAUUUUAUAGUAUCAUGCUAAUUUUUAAUUUUACAAAUUCCUC